rnacentral:tRNA from 1 species
GAAGGUAUAGCUCUGUGGUUAGAGCAUAUGCUUAGCAUGCAUGAGGUCCUGGGUUGAAUCCCCAGUACCUCCA